rnacentral:lncRNA from 1 species
UUUCCCUGAGACUGAGAAAAAAAUAAGAUUGGUCAGUUGCGACAAAUCACACAAGAGAAUGGUAGCUUUCACCUCUAGUAUUGGAAGCUUUUGAAGGCGGUGUGCGUGCUUCUCCCUGCCAUCUCGUCCCUAGUGUAUAAGUCAAUAAAUAAUACGUAACUAAAGACCAGAGGGAUUACAACACCUUAAUUCCUACGUUCGUGUUAAGCGACACUCCAUCCAUUGGAAACUCCAUCGUCCGUUUUGUCAUCCUGCCGGACAAAAGCGCUUUAAAAAGAGUUCGCAGAUUCGCAGAUUCACUCACCACAGACAUGGACUCCUCCCACGGAGCCAUCCUCGUCGCGUGCUUGCUACUGGCAGCGGUUGCAAACCAAAGUGAUGCUUAUUUCCACACCGGCGAUGGCGGGAUCCAAGGUGCCAGAAGCGAGCUGAGAGCUGGAAACAAGCAGGCAAGUUUAAGAUGACUCGUAAGAAAGUAGAAACUUAUUACCUUUCGUUUUUUUCUUUAAUCAUUCCAGAAAUAUGUUGUAUACACCGGAGGGAAG